AUGGCCAAAUGCUGCCUACUGCUCCUCCUCCUCUUCGGGUUUCUCUUGCUCGAGGCGCACGUGGCUUUGUGCCACCCCGACGACCUUCGCGGAUUGCAGGACUUUGCUGUGAGCCUCCGCGCCGGGGGUGUCCUCCUCCAUGCCAUUUGGUUCGGUGGCACAUGCUGCAGCUGGGAAGGCGUGCGCUGUGACGCUGCUAGCGGCCGUGUCACGGCGCUGCGCCUUCCAAGGCGCGGCCUCACGGGGCACAUCCCGGGAACCUCCCUUGUAGGCCUUGCGUGGCUCGAGGAGCUCGACCUCGGCUCCAACGGCUUUCACAACAUCUCAGGGGUGCUCACAAUAUUGCGUGGAUUCAAGAGCCUCGAGGUGCUGGCCCUUGGUGAUUGUGCUCUCAGGGGCAGGGUUCCGGAAUGGUUGUCCCAAUGCAAGAAAAUGGAGGUGCUUGAUUUGUCCAGCAACCAAUUGGUGGGCACCAUCCCAUCGUGGAUUGGUGAGCUUCACCACCUUUGCUACUUGGAUCUUUCAAACAAUUUAUUGGUUGACGACGCACCUAAGAGUUUGGCACCACUAAAGGGGCUCGCCACCGGCGGGCGUUCACUGGGCAUGGUUUUCACUAACAUGCCAUCAUAUGUGAAGCAUAACAGAAGCACACUUAGACGGCGACUUAGCGAGCUCCCAAAUGUCAUAACAGGGACCAACAACUUUGUGACAUCAGGGAGCAACAAUGUUAUAUCCGAGAAUGACAACACUGUCAUAUAUGGGGAUGAAAACACCGUAUCUGAGAACAACCAUGCCGUAUAUGGGAAUGAAAACAUUGUAUCAGGGAACAAUCAUGUCGUAUCUGGGAGCAAGCAUGUGGUAUCUGGUAGCAGGCAUGGCGUAACUGGGAGAGGUAGUGUGGUAUCCGGCCGGAUUCAAGAAUGGCAUAUCUGGAAUCAACCAUGUCGUAUCUGGGAGCAACAACAUCGUACCUGGGAUGAACCAUAUUGUAUCUGGGAACAACAAAGUUAUAUCAGGAGUUGA
rnacentral:rRNA from 1 species